CCUACGGGGGGCUGCAGUCGAGAAUAAUUCACAAUGGGGGCAACCCUGAUGGUGCAACGCCGCGUGGAGGAUGACGGUCUUCGGAUUGUAAACUCCUGUCAUCUGGGAGAAAGACCUGACGGUAAAUAGCCGGCAGGGUUGAUAGUACCAGAAGAGGAAGGGACGGCUAACUUCGUGCCAGCAGCCGCGGUAAUACGAAGGUCCCGAGCGUUGUUCGGAAUCACUGGGCGUAAAGGGAGCGUAGGCGGCGCGGUAAGUCGGAUGUGAAAUCCCGGGGCUCAACCCCGGAACUGCAUCUGAUACUGCCGUGCUAGAGUAAUGGAGAGGUAGCUGGAAUUAUCGGUGUAGCAGUGAAAUGCGUAGAUAUCGAUAGGAACACUCGUGGCGAAAGCGAGCUACUGGACAUUUACUGACGCUGAGGCUCGAAGGCUAGGGUAGCGAAAGGGAUUAGAUACCCCAGUAGUC
rnacentral:rRNA from 1 species